UCAAGCUUAGAUGCCAAUAUGG
rnacentral:siRNA from 1 species